rnacentral:lncRNA from 1 species
GAGUAGAUUCCUGAGGUUUUAAGGCUCUGGCUUGUGGUCCUUCAUUGCAGCCACCCCAGCAGACCACGUAGAUAUCCUAGUUUGUGUGAAUGGGACCAUGCACGAGGUCACAUGCAGCCCCACUGGGAUCUUUCAGCGCUGCCUGUCCCCUUCCUAAGGGUGGCUGCCGUGACAUAACCCCUUCUGAGCACGUGGUGACAAGACCUCACGUUACCUGACCCCAUGAUGUAGCGUGAGCCUCCUCCCCGUCCAUCCAGGCGGGCGGUGCUGCUCAGGUGGGACCUGCCGUGGAAAGGGGGCGUCUCAGUAGACAGGGUGAGACGUCCGUGCCCAUCUAGGGGGAGCGCACCAGGUGACAGGACACAGACGUGAGGGUGAGAUGAGAACUCUGGGUGGAGAGAGCGAGGCAGGAGGUCUUUCCUCCUGCCUGGAUCUUCACCGUCACGGAAGGGGGGGGCCCCCACAGCGGGGUGACCUGUCCGGGGAGGCACGCUGCUUGGACAGGAGCCUGACAGGCCUCGUCCGGGAGGGCACGGCCAGCCCUGCCUUCCGUCUUCACUGCACCCCAGGCAACGGGUCGGAACAUGCGACUAGGCGAGCCGCGAGAGCUGGGGCGUGCCCGAACCUGAGAAGGGGGAGCUCAGCCAGCGCGACCUGCAGCCGGGCCUCCUUCGUCCGGGCGUUGCAGCGGAAAAUGGAAAGAACGACGGUGAAUCGGUCAAACACCUGCACGCCCCAGGCGGCCUCCAGUUCUUUCUGGGUGGGCGGGGCCAUCCUCUCCACAUUCAGAAAGACCGAGGUGUUUUCUGGCACGCUCUGAUUUUCUCUGCGGAAAGAGAAGGUUCGGUCGGACGUCAGGGCUCCAUGGGGUCUGUCGUGGGGCCGACCCUGGGCUCAGGCUGGCUGUGGUCACCGGGUACCCCUCGACUCCCUGAGUGUGUAUUUGGGAAGUCGGGUGUGUGAGGCAGGGGAGGGGAGGACCGGGGUCCCUUUGGGGGUCGUGGGUCUUGCACACGCAGGUGACACGACCCCACGGGGUCUGAAUGGCUCCAUGACCUGCGGUGACAGAGCCGAGCGGUGAGCACCCCCUCAGCGUAUCCGCAGGGCUCGCUGCUCUGAAGUGUGACACCCCAGGGGGUCCCUGGAAGGCAGGGUUCACACACAGCACCCUGUCUGCGGGGAGGGCUGGGCUGGGGUCCCGGGGC